rnacentral:tRNA from 1 species
GCAGUGGUGGUUCAGUGGUAGAAUUCUCACCUUCCAUGUGGGAGACCCAGGUUCGAAUCCUGGCCAAUGCA